GUAGGGAAUCUUGCGCAAUGGGCGAAAGCCUGACGCAGCCAUGCCGCGUGAAUGAUGAAGGUCUUAGGAUUGUAAAAUUCUUUCACCGGGGACGAUAAUGACGGUACCCGGAGAAGAAGCCCCGGCUAACUUCGUGCCAGCAGCCGCGGUAAUACGAAGGGGGCUAGCGUUGCUCGGAAUUACUGGGCGUAAAGGGAGCGUAGGCGGAUAGUUUAGUCAGAGGUGAAAGCCCAGGGCUCAACCUUGGAAUUGCCUUUGAUACUGGCUAUCUUGAGUAUGGAAGAGGUAUGUGGAACUCCGAGUGUAGAGGUGAAAUUCGUGGAUAUUCGGAGGAACACCAGUGGCGAAGGCGGCUUACUGGUCCAUUACUGACGCUGAGGUGCGAAAGCGUGGGGAGCAAACAGGAUUAGAAACCCUAGUAGUCC
rnacentral:rRNA from 1 species